UUUGAGUAACACAAAAGUUUUCCUUUAUAUGCUUUACUUAUUGGAGUUGGAUUUUCAAUUAUCAAAAGUUAAAAUUAGUAAAAUACCCUUGAUUGCAAUGAAAACCCCAACUCUUUUGUCUCCUCCUUUCUGUCCCUCUCCUGGCCAAGUCCUAGCCCCUUAGGUUAGAAAAUAGAGUUUAGGUGCCUUAAUUUACUCUCCAUUCAACUACCAUGACUAAAAAAAAAAAAAAAA
rnacentral:misc_RNA from 1 species